UCCCGCUAAAAAUAUUAAACUCUUCUGGACGACUUACAUGUAAGUCGUCUGUUUUAAUUUCUUCACCAGACGACUGAAAUGUAAGUCGUCCAGGAAGUCGUCUGAGUCAAAAAUAUUUAAUCUAAUUGGAUUUUUUGUCUCCCUAUAAAAAGAAAAAUUUACACAUUCUCUCUCCUCCUCUCAAAUGGCUGCAACAAAAAUGUAAUGUUCAUCAUUCUAAAACUCUCCAACCUCUCUCUAAU
rnacentral:lncRNA from 1 species